UGCUCGAGUGGCGAACGGGUGAGUAACACGUGAGUAACCUGCCCUUGACUUUGGGAUAACUUCAGGAAACUGGGGCUAAUACCGGAUAGGAGCUCCUGCUGCAUGGUGGGGGUUGGAAAGUUUCGGCGGUUGGGGAUGGACUCGCGGCUUAUCAGCUUGUUGGUGGGGUAGUGGCUUACCAAGGCUUUGACGGGUAGCCGGCCUGAGAGGGUGACCGGUCACAUUGGGACUGAGAUACGGCCCAG
rnacentral:rRNA from 1 species